GAUGAACGCUGGCGGCGUGCCUAAUACAUGCAAGUCGAGCGAACGGACGAGAAGCUUGCUUUUCUGAUGUUAGCGGCGGACGGGUGAGUAACACGUGGAUAACCUACCUAUAAGACUGGGAUAACUUCGGGAAACCGGAGCUAAUACCGGAUAAUAUUUUGAACCGCAUGGUUCAAAAGUGAAAGACGGUCUUGCUGUCACUUAUAGAUGGAUCCGCGCUGCAUUAGCUAGUUGGUAAGGUAACGGCUUACCAAGGCAACGAUGCAUAGCCGACCUGAGAGGGUGAUCGGCCACACUGGAUCUGAGACACGGUCCAGACUCCUACGGGAGGCAACAGUAGAGAAUCUUCCGCAAUGGACGAAAGCCUGACGGAGCAACGCCGCGUGAGUGAUGAAGGUCUUCGGAUCGUAAAACUCUGUUAUUAGGGAGGAACAUAUGUGUAAGUAACUGUGCACAUCUUGACGGUACCUAAUCAGAAAGCCACGGCUAACUACGUG
rnacentral:rRNA from 1 species